CCUCCCUCAGUGCUUUAUGGCAGGGGAACACCUAGCCUUUCUGCUGCCCGAGGUAAAAAUUUAAACAAAACCCCCUAUACCAAAUUCUCAAACUAAGCCCUUCCCUCCAGCCCUACUUUUAAAGACAUACAUGGAAAACAUUACAUAC